UACAAGACAUAUGUUUUCUUGAUAUUCACAUAAUCUGGAAAACUAUGUUUUGUGUG
rnacentral:pre_miRNA from 1 species